UGCAUUGAUGUCUUCUGGUCUCUGCCGCGACUCAGAUCACCUUUUUUCUCUGGUUGUGAACCGUCAACACUUGACCUAACCAACGUGCACAGCCAAAAAGAUGAUAAUUAUGAUUCUCAUAUCAGUAUAAAGCAAUCUUAUUGGCAUACCCGCUUGGUAAGACGAUGCAAAAUAUAUACAAGAAUUUUUUUUUGUCUGGGAUUUGUGCGUGCUAGAAGAUCAUGCAGUCUAGAAUACUUGUAAGGAAUAAAGAUUCAGAAUUACUAACCUUGUUAGAUUCAUGAAUUUCUCCAUAACCCUACACCAAGAACUUGUUCUGAAACCCUUUUGUAAUCAAUGGGUCAUGGCUUUGUAGUAAUAAGCUAGGUGGCGUUCAUGAGAAGAAAGAGCGCAGAAGAAAAGGCGAAACCUUGUUUAGGUAUUGCCAUAGGCUGAGGUUUGAAAGGAAAGCAAGCAAGGUUAGAUAUAUACUUGGCAUGUAUUGUCUGGUUUUCAGAAUAAAAAGAAAGUGUCUUUUGGAUGAAGAUUGGUAUUUUCUUUCCUUUCUUUGGAGGCAUUCUCGUUCAAUGUAUUAUUUGAUCUGCUCCACCAUAUAUCAAUAUUAAUCUAAAAAGUAAAUUUUAUUAUUUGAAAGUUUAA